UACGUAGGGAGCGAGCGUUGUCCGGAAUUACUGGGUGUAAAGGGUGCGUAGGCGGCCUUGCAAGUCAGGCGUGAGAACCAUGGGCUCAACCCGUGGACCGCGUUUGAAACUGUGAGGCUUGAGUGAAGUAGAGGUAGGCGGAAUUCCCGGUGUAGCGGUGAAAUGCGUAGAGAUCGGGAGGAACACCAGUGGCGAAGGCGGCCUACUGGGCUUUAACUGACGCUGAGGCACGAAAGCAUGGGUAGCAAACAGG
rnacentral:rRNA from 1 species